rnacentral:rRNA from 1 species
UACGAAGGGGGCUAGCGUUGCUCGGAAUCACUGGGCGUAAAGGGUGCGUAGGCGGGUCUUUAAGUCAGGGGUGAAAUCCUGGAGCUCAACUCCAGAACUGCCUUUGAUACUGAAGAUCUUGAGUUCGGGAGAGGUGAGUGGAACUGCGAGUGUUAGAGGUGAAAUUCGUAGAUAUUCGCAAGAACACCAGUGGCGAAGGCGGCUCACUGGCCCGAUACCGACGCUGAGGCACGAAAGCG